rnacentral:rRNA from 1 species
GACGAACCGUGCGAACGUUAUUCGGAAUCACUGGGCGUAAAGGGCGCGUAGGCGGUCUUGCAAGUCCUGUGUGAAAUCCCUCGGCUCAACUGAGGAACUGCACAGGAAACUGCUUGGCUUGAGUUCGGGAGAGGGAAGCGGAAUUCCGGGUGUAGCGGUGAAAUGCGUAGAUAUCCGGAGGAACACCGGUGGCGAAGGCGGCUUCCUGGACCGACACUGACGCUGAGGCGCGAAAGCUAGGGGAGCAAACGGG